AUGAAGAAAAAAAGAUUUAACACAUCCGGUGCCUACGGUUCGGAUACCAGCUUUUAUACAUCCGGUUUUUACGAUUCGCAGACCAGCUUUUCAAAACAUUCCGAAUCCAAUAUGCCCACUGUAAACAAUGAGGUUUUAUGCAUACUUCAAAAUAUAUCGGAUCAACUAAAAGCCCUGACCACAAAUAUUAUCAAUUUGGAUACCCGAGUUACUAACCUAGAAACCAAGAUUGAAAUUAUUUGAAAGAAAAUAUCAUACAAAAAAGCGAAGAAAUGGCCCAGCAAAAAACCGUACGCGAAUGCAAAGUCCUCAUAAAAAAAAUUCACCAUUCAGUUUGUCGAAUGACCGGGGAAGAGGUCGACGAUCAACAAACAGAAAUUGCUUCCACUUUACCACUGACAACACUAGAAGCUGCUUUCGAAGUUGAAGAAAAAUUGAAGUGUCAAGAGUAUCUCGCCGGAAUGAAUCUGUUCGUUUCGAGAAAAAAAGUUGUUUCGGACAGUGUAUAAGAUAUACUGCGACACAUGUACACUGACGACUUUUUAUUGUUGUGCAAUUGGGAUGGAAGGAACGGCAAACAAUCCUGAUCGCAGUUUUCCUUAGCAUCUAACAUAC